rnacentral:lncRNA from 1 species
UUUUAGGGCCACACCCUCGGCAUAUGGAGGCUCCCAGGCUAGGGGUCUAAUCAAAGCUACAGCUGCUGGCCUACACCACAGCCACAGUUAACGCUAGAUCCAAGCUGCAUCUGCAACCCACACCUCAGCUCACGGCAACACCAGAUCCUCAAGCCACUGAGUGAGGCCAGGGAUUGAAUCUACAACCUAAUGGUUCCUAGUCAGAUUCGUUUCCACUGCGCCAUGACAGGAACUUCCUGUUUUUUAUUUUUCAAUUUUUCUGUGAUGAACAUAUAUUGUCCUUACAAUAAAGAAGACACAGUAAAAUAUUUUUCCAUUGAAUUUUUAAAGACAUACUUUGAACUGAGCACUAUUAAACGAAAUGCUGUAAAUCAAAACACUUGAACUUAUCACAGAAAAAUUAGGUUCACAAGCAUUUUAUUUACAUAUUAAAUAAUACAUAAAGUAUCUAAAGGACACAUUAAAGAAUUCAUAAGUAAUUCAUUAAGCCCUUUUUUUGAAAGAACUAUUGAAUUUGAAUGGAACAUCUUCCCUUAUAAGGCAGGCUUAAAAACCCAUUAAGAAAAACAAUUUUGAAAUAGUGAAUUUGUAGCUAAAAAUUAUUAUGUAAGGUCUUUAAUCUAGGUUUGUUGAAAAACACCCUAAUAACUAAUUAGUCUGAAUUUUUUUUUCCAAACACUUAAUGAAGUGGCACUAAGUUAUCUCCAAGGAUACUUUAUUGAUAUUUUAAGUAACAUAAAGGCAUUUGGUAAAACUAAUAACAAACUACUGACUUUUAUUUCAGUCUAAAACUUUGCCACUGGGGUAAUACUCUAUAAAUAAAGGCCUUUGACUAACUAUGUUAAGCUGCAUUAAAAGUCACAACAUUCUACAUAUUCAACAUUUAACAUUUAACAUUCUACAUAUUUAAAUAUCUGUAAUCUGAUAAAGGCAUUUAAUGAAAAACUACAUGUAUCUUAAAUCUCUACAUGAUUCAUAGCACAAGAAAAGAAAUGUGUAUGUGUAGUGAAAGGAGAAAAUAAAAGGAUUUGUUACCAGAGGCAUAACAUUAAGAGAGUUUGAAUAAACAUUUACAUAUUUAAUACCUACUUAGCUUUUCAAGAUUCUAGUUUGACUUCUUUAUUCUUUGAUUUUUAUGCCCUAUGCUACAGACUAUAUCUUCUAGUCUGUUAAUCUACCUAAGGCUUAAAAUUACUGAUACUAUCCUGUUAAUAUUCUUUCACAGAUUCUUACUAGUUUUCAAUUGUAUAAAGAUAGAAGGAAAACCUCCUGGUCAAAACAAAUUUGAUCAAAGGCAAUGAAAAAAAUGUAACAAACUGCCUUUCACACACAAUAUUCAGUGCACACUUUAUCCUGAAUAAACUGUGAAGACUUAAAAAUAUGCACUUUUCACAUGAAAAUCUGUAUUUUUUUUUUCUUUUUAUGGCCCCACUUGCAGCAUGUGGAACGUCCUGAGCUAGGGGUUGAAUCUGGAGCUGCAACUGGGGCUACACCACAGCCACGGCAACACUGGAUCCAAGCCACAUCCGCAACCUACACUACACUUAUAGCAAUGCCAGAUACUAAACCCACUGAGCAAGGAACAGCUCAGAAACAAUGUUGGGUAAAAAGGAUAAAAAAGCAAACUGCAUUUUAGACUCUUUCAGUGUUAGUAAGAACACUCAAUGUUAAUGAACACAUCAAUGUAGGAAUAGUAAAAACAGUACAGGAAAGAUAUAAACCAAUUCCAAGAGGGUGGUUACCUCCGGGAAAGGAGGGGUUUUUUAAAAAACAGUUUAAAUAAAAAGGCAAAUGUUAUAACAUACUAAUUCUGCAUGGUAAAUAUAAGGUUGCCUGCUCUAUUUAUCCUCUGUACUUUUGUGAAUAUUUGAACAAUUUCUUAAUUAUUUCAAAUCUAAGCCAUGAUGUAAAUAAUUUUCUUUUGAAAAAAAUGAAAGGGAUUUUACAAUGCAAUUACUUGAAACAUGGGAGUCUACCUUUUUAAAGAUUAUUGCCUUGUUAGUUUCCAUAUUCGAAAAAAUUUUAAUUCCAAUCUAAGAAACUAAAAAUUCUACCCUCUUUUCACAAAUGAUUUGUCUUGGUAACAAUUCCAAAUCAAGUUCUCAAGAGACUCCACGGUUUUAUUUCAAAACUGAACUCUGGGAGGGAUUCCACCUCACAGACCUCCUAAAUGAAGUUAAAAACAUUCUUUACAGGGCUUUGAAUAACUGGCUCCAUCGCGUAGAGCAAACAAGUCAGGCUUGAGGGUCUGACUCCAUUCCUUGCUCUAACUUCCCAAGGAGAAUCUGUCACUUUCUUAGUGAGUAUGUUCUUUCUCAUUUCCUAUGUUCAUGUGCCAUAUUAAACCCCUAUUUAAAAGAAAAGAUUCCUAGUAAGUCUUUAGAUGUAUCUAAUGAAACCUUACUCUAAAGAAAUCAAGACAACAAUGACAAGAUUUUUCCUCUUGUACUAAAAUCACCUGCAGUCAAAUUUCUUUUAAGUUUAGCCCCAUUUCUUUAUAAGCACUGGAAAUUUGACAGGUCAUCUACAGCUAAAUAAAAAUAAGAUUCCUCCCAUUUACAAUCACGUUUGGACACUAAAACAAAUGUUGAAUAUACUUUUGUCACCAGGAAGGAAAUAGUAAAGAUACUCUUAAUUUUCCCAAAAACUGAUAAAUAUUCUCUCAAAGUAGCAACCAUCUGAUUUAAAGAAUUACUGGCUUGUUAUCUUAAACAAGGAAUCAUGUUCAACUCAUAUUGAUGUUUUCUAUCCGAAGCGUGUCAUGCAAUAUUAUAAUUUAUCUCAUAAAUCUACUAGAGUGUGAUCAAAUCCUAUCAACUCUGAUUGGCAUAAAUUUGAAACAGUGAAGCAAUUGCAUCUGUUAAGCAGUUCUAUCUUGCUAGACAACAUUUUAAAAGUUUAUACAAUAAUAUAACUCUAUUUUUUUCUAUAAGACCAUUCUGUACCUGAUUUGAGUUUUUCAUAAGUUUUAUAUAUGUACUGGGUUCAGUGUAAUAUACAGUGAAAAAUAAGAAAGGGAGACAGAAGGAGUAUACGAGAUGGAGUGACAGAGAUGAUCUAAGCGUGAACUUCAGACACACCAAAAAACAUUUUAGUAAAACUCCAAAUGAAUUACAAGGUGUCAAGAUGGGGGGAAAUAAGUUCAUUUGAACAAAAACAAUUAAAAAAAAAAAGUAUAUCUGACUUUAUCCUGAAAAAAUACGAAUGUUGAACUUAAAUAAAAAUACAGGGAGUUCCUAUCAUGGCACAGUGGUAACAAACCCAACUAGAAUCCUUGAGGACUCGGGUUUGAUCCCUGGCCUCACUCGGUGGGUUAAAGAUAACAUUGCCUUGAGCUACAGUGUAGGUUGCAGAUGGGGCUCAGAUCUGGGGUUGCUGUAGCUGUGGUGUAGGUCAGAAGCUGUAGCUCCAAUUCAACUGCCAACCUGGGAACUUCCAUAUGCAGCGGGUGUGGCCCUAAAAAGACAAAAAAAAAAAAAAAAAAAAAUACAUGAGUAUCAAACAGGGAAUUCAAACCUUGCUUUAUAGAACAAAACAGUACAGCAAAAUUUGCCACCUAUGUUUUUUGGUGCAAAAAUCUCUACUUUUUGAAACCGAAAUGAUUUUAUAAAACAUUAUAAUCAUAUGUAUAUGAAUUAAUAAGUGAAAAAUAUAAUAUCCCAAAAGUAAUUCUAUGUAAUUUUAAAGACAUUUCUAAUUAACAAGUCAAUUCAAGGAUGAAAGUGACUAGGCCCUAAAGAUACUGGGGGUAUGGGCUAAAACAAGAGAUAAAUAUUAAAAAUAUUAAAAAUAAUAAUAUCAUCAAGUCAUUGAUCCUACUGCUUUAUAUCAUCGUGACUAAGAUAUGACAAAACUACGUGACAUUCUAUAAACAAUAGCUAAAUUGCUAUUAUAAAUCCCAUUGAGCCAUUCAUGGAUAAUUAAUCAUAUACAAUUUUGAGACAAUUCUCCUACUGAACUUUGUGCUUCUUCAUUACACGCACACAUCUUCACCCAAAAGUGAAUACCUCUUUAACUUCCCUGCAUAGCAACCAGGCCUUGUAUGUAUUCAAUACAUAUUUGCAGACUGGUUUACUUUAACUUUUAUAAAAACAUAACUCAUGAUUUAAAUUAAAAUUUUUAUUCCCUACCACUAAAGUUAAAUAAAACAAAACAACAUUAUGAUCAAGGUAAAACUUUCCAAAAAGACACAACAGGUAAUUCUGAUGGUAAAACUUGAACUCAAGGCAGUGACAAAGAUCUUUUAAUGAAAUCUUGUGGUAAUUCAGAUGUUUUCCUAUUAUCUGAGGACAUGGCAAGUUUUCACAAAAUAGAUAUAUCCUAUUUUCUUAGAAUUUUCAAUUUAGAAUUACUGGAAUGCUAUGUUAACCAAAGAGGAUAAAACUUCCUCUGUUCUUGCCUCUUUUCUAUAGUUUUGUUGUACUCUCCUUAACAUAUGAAACUAUCCACUAGUUAUUUUUCAGUAUCUUUUAGAUUAAUUCCUAAUUAACUGCUUUAAGAAACUGACACUCUAAUGACUACUCUGUAGUUUAAAUAUAAGGACACUUCUUUAAUUACCAUAGAACAACUGUAAAAUAUUUUAUUUUAUUUUUUAAAAAGUAAAUCUCAAGUUUUAUUUUUUUAAUCUAUCAUUCAUUGACUAGGAUUAAAAUAAGAAAUAAUUACAGUUCUGAAAAAAAAACCACUGUUGCUACC